ACUUCCCAGGCGGAGUACUUAAUGCGUUAGCUACGGCACCGAGGGGGGUAACCCCCGACACCUAGUACUCAUCGUUUACGGCGUGGACUACCAGGGUAUCUAAUCCUGUUCGCUCCCCACGCUUUCGUGCCUCAGCGUCAGUUACAGUCCAGAAAGCCGCCUUCGCAACUGGUGUUCCUCCCAAUAUCUACGCAUUUCACCGCUACACUGGGAAUUCCACUUUCCUCUCCUGCACUCAAGUCCUACAGUUUCAAAGGCUUACUACGGUUGAGCCGUAGCCUUUCACCUCUGACUUGCAAGACCGCCUACGCACCCUUUACGCCCAGUAAUUCCGGAUAACGCUAGCCCCCUACGUAUUACCGCGGCUGCUGGCACGUAGUUAGCCGGGGCUUCCUCCUCAAGUACCGUCAAUAUUCUUCCUUGAGGACAGAGCUUUACGAUCCGAAGACCUUCAUCGCUCACGCGGCGUUGCUGCAUCAGGCUUUCGCCC
rnacentral:rRNA from 1 species